CUAUCCAAGCAAAUUUCUACCCAUACUACCAUUCUAAACCUUCAAACUCUCCAUCAUCAAGAAUCCAGCACACACAAAAGAACUCUCUAAGGCCACCACGCAACCUACCAAUAGCCUCCCUACUCUCUAAACCAAAACCAUCGCUUUCAAACCAAAGCCUUCCUCCCAUUCACAAUAUAAAUGAUGGAUAUCUUUGCAUA
rnacentral:lncRNA from 1 species